rnacentral:rRNA from 1 species
AUUGAACGCUGGCGGAAUGCUUUACACAUGCAAGUCGAACGAUGAACCUUAGCUUGCUAAGGGGAUUAGUGGCGAACGGGUGAGUAAUAUAUCGGAACGUGCCUUGUAAUGGGGGAUAACUAGUCGAAAGAUUAGCUAAUACCGCAUACGCCCUGAGGGGAAAGUAGGGGAUCUUCGGACCUUACGUUAUAAGAGCGGCCGAUAUCUGAUUAGCUAGUUGGUGGGGUAAUGGCCUACCAAGGCGACGAUCAGUAGCUGGUCUGAGAGGACGACCAGCCACACUGGAACUGAGACACGGUCCAGACUCCUACGGGAGGCAGCAGUGGGGAAUUUUGGACAAUGGGCGCAAGCCUGAUCCAGCCAUUCCGCGUGAGUGAAGAAGGCCUUCGGGUUGUAAAGCUCUUCCGCAAGGGAAGAAAACUUACCAUCGAAUAAAUGGUGAGGCUGACGGUACCUUGAUAAGAAGCACCGGCUAACUACGUG